rnacentral:lncRNA from 1 species
GCCCCUGGCUUGCUGUUCUUGAGACUCCCUCUACUUCCCACGCGCCACUCCCAGCACGUGGAGACGCCUGUUUCUCCUGGGCAGAUGGAACCCGAUUCUUUCCAACUUGGGAAACGUAAUCGGUCUUUUCUGUUAUGUUUCCAUUUGUUUCUCAAUGUUAAAUUUCUGUGAACAAAACUUCCCAUUGGUGACUGUUUUAAAGACCCUCAGAACCUGGUCCGCCACUCUAGAGGCUCUAUCACCAUAGGCCCUGGGCUGCCUGGAGGAGCGAGUGAGGGGUCCAUGCUGCGUCAGGAGCUGGGGACUGCUGGGGAUGAGAUGCGUCUCUUUGGCCAGGGCGUUUGCUUUAGAGCUAUGAGGCAGCCAGGAAGCUGGGCCACAGGCGGGAGGCCUGGGGUCCGGGCGCUACAGCCAGUGCCAGCUCCUGCUUUCCACGGCCGGCGGGUUCUACCAUAGCCUCGGCAAGUCAUCAGCAAACGUCCCUUACAGACACUCCAUCCGGACACGUGUGCCUCAUUGCCAGGUGGUCUCUCUGCCGAACCCACAUCUGUGAUGGCAGAACUCAGCUCAGAGCAGUAAUUUCCCUUGGUUUUG